rnacentral:lncRNA from 1 species
AAUUGUUGUUGGGGGUUUAGUCUGUUUUAGCAGUGGGAGUUGGGCUAUGUUACUUCACCAAGUCUUGUUGGAAGAAGAAAGAUGGUAAGUCUACUCUAUUUAAUUGUUGUUACAUUUUUUCGAAAUUUUUAAAUUUGCAACUUUAUAAUUUCAGCGUUGUUUUGAUAUAUACCAAAUAAUAUAUUCCCGUUUAAUGAUGAGAAGAGUCACAUUUUUUGCAGAUUGGUGAGGCAGAUGGCUGCUGUGGCUCUUGCCCUUAGGAAGAAUAAUCGAAAAUCUUGCAUGAUUGCCAGUAUUAAUGUUUUCUAUUUUUUGCAGUUGCAAUCUUUGGGAUUUUGAACUAGGCUCAAACGUUUGUAGAAUUGUUGAUAAAUAUUGUCAUAGAAGGAUAAGAUUUGGACCUGCAAUUAAAGUAACUACAAAAGAAUCAAGAGAUUGAGACAUUAUUAAAAUAUUUCUAAAGUAGUGCCGAUUUUUUUUUACUUUUUUUUUUAAAGAACUAAUUAAUCAAGCUAGUUCAAAUAUGUCAAGUUGUUUGUAGAAUUGUUGGGUAAAAAUGGCGAGUAAAGGGAAGGAAAAAAAAAAGAAAAUACAAACUAUCAUA